ensembl:lncRNA
CUUUCAGUUAUAUGAUAACAUUCACUUCAUCUUGCAUGUAUUCUGUUAUAAAAUAUGUAUUUAAAUCUUCUCAGUUAAAUCAGUUUUUAUUGGUCAUGUCCUUUAUUUCUUGUUCUUCAUCAUUCUAGGAGUCAGAGGUCAAUGACUGCAGGAAAAGGUGUCAGAUCCUUGAGAGAGAAGUGAAGAACAAGACAUUAGAAUGUAAGACUUUGAAGAAUGAGCUUCAGGAUGCUUUGCUGGAGAGAAAACGGCUCAAUCGUGAGCUGCUUAGUCACGUCCUGAAGGCAACACAGUAUGAAAAGGUAAAGUCAGACUAUGAUCGGCUCAGAAAGGCUUUUGGUUGUGUGAGUCAAGAGAGGGACACUGCCAGGCAGGAGAAGGCUCAGCUCCAAGACAAACUGGAGAACCUUGAGCAGGUCCUGAAGGUAAGAUCAUUGUUGGAUAUUAGUGAAACAGUAGUUUGAUUACCGAUUCAAAUCCGGCCAGCAUUCAGUACAUCUUGGAAAUAUGAAUCUCAAACUUUAAUCUUAAUAACACCAAUGAUUUAGUAAGAGUUUUGAGGACAGAGAUGGCCUUGUAAAAUACUGUAAUCUGACUGUUUAUUAUAUCAUUAAAUUUCUUUUUUUUUUACUAUAACAUCUUUUUUAAUAUCUAAUAAAGCAAUCAGUAUUAUUUAAGAUUGUAUUUAGAGUCUUGCUUUUAAAGGAAAAACAGAUACCAGCUGAGAUAAUGAUGUUGCAUUAAUCUGAUUUGUUUCUGCCAGCAUCAUGUUGCUGACUCAUUGUUCAAUGAAAAGUGUUCCUGCACUUGUCGCUUUAUUGACUGCUUGUGUCAUGUGUCUCGAGAUGAGGAAGAAUGCUCUUAUAACAAGAAAUCGACGGCUCAUCUUGAUAUAUGACAUAUGAAAUGAGAAAUAUGUAUUUAUCUCUCAUACCUUUCUUAUUAUUGACUAUGUGAUAAAUGAUUACAGAAGAGAUUAGAUAAGACAAAGAACUAGAGGUAGUAUAGCAACGAAUCGAGCAGAAAAUGAGGUUUUCUAUAAAAUUUCAGGAUUCUUUUUGAAGUUGUUUGAAGAUGUCUUUUGCUCCUGAGAAAUGCAUAAUCCUUCCAGAUAGUUUUGCAGCAGCUGGACUGAAAAAAAAAAAGAUUUUCUUUUAAAGAAAAAAAAAAAUCUGUCUGGAAUGUUUCAUUUGAACUUUCCACUGGGCAAGUCAUCUAUUUUAAAUCUUAAAUUCUCAAAGGGAUUGCUCACCCAAAAAUUAAAAAAUGAACAGAUGCUGUAAUCUGUCAUUUACUGAACCUCAUGUCAACCUGUGACUUUUUUACUGUGGAACCAGAAAGAAGAUAAUUUUUUUGAUAUUCUUAUUUUUUUCUCAGUUCAGUUAAAGACUGUGAGGUCCAAAAUAACAUUGGACAAUUUUGUGGACAGAAACAUUACUCAAAAUAUCUUUUAUGUUUUACAGAAGAAAAUCAUGGCUUGAAGCAACAUGAAUUUAAAUCAAUGUAGCUAUGUAUCUUUUGAACUUUUACAUGCUAUUAUGUAGCCAAUAAAUUUUGUUCAUUUGCACAUUUGUAAAAAUAAAUAUAUUUUGUUGUUUCUUCUCCUCUUCAGCUGCUCCUAUUUUAAUGAAUAUGCAAAGCAUUGAGUGUAUAGCCAUAUGAGUGUUUGAGGUGUGUAUGUGCGCUUAAAACCCCACCAAAGUCAGAAAAGAAAAGAAAAGAGGCUUUAACUCUCUUAAAGAGGAUGGAGAUGAGGACAGUGAGAGAAAUGGGGAGAAAAAAUGGAUCUUAGACCUUAUAAGCUUAAGCUUUUAAGCCUAACAACACAUCUGAUAUGUUUCAGUCAUCCUACUCCUGUCCAGUUUAGCUGAAUCUUGAAUAAAAGAGAAGGAAACUUGAACCCAAACAGCCCAUUAGACAUUGUUUAUUGUGUUUUAUUCAUCAGCUUUUAUUGUGGCAUUCUUGGUUUUCAGAAUUUUCACAGAACAUGUUGUAUUUACCAAGUGCCGCUCCAUCAGUGGCUGUUUGUGUCAUCACUCACACUGUCACUAUUGCACUUAAUGUGUCUGUUAAAGCACCUGUGUGGUUAUUCAUGAUGCUUUUUUUCCAGAUCUUUGUCCGCAACCUGAAAACAGAAGGUUAGAACAGUGAUUAGUGGCUUGUUUUACAAUGUAUCUUUAAGAAAUCAGGUGUUUCUACAAAUGUGUGACAAACAUGUCCUAAUUCUAAUUUCCUUUUUUUUCUCUAUUUCUGUUUUUA